UUACAAAAUAGGGUUAGUAAACAGAAGAAAGAUCUCUUUUUAUUUUAUUUAUUCAGUCUCUCUUUCAAACACAGUGCAGACUAAUUUAAACGAUGUCCGAGCGCUGCUUGCACAGACAGACAGAAUUUGUGGCUGAGAUGAUGCACGUCAGAGCAUUUUGUAGGAAAAGGGGGCGAAAAUAGGCCCAGGUGUCAUGCUUCCAGCACUGCUGAUCGGAGCUGGAGCCGAUAAUUACCCACAAUUUUUCCCGGGAGUGAAUGCCGAUUGUAACCUUUCCCACUGAAGACAAAGGCUUGUGAGCUUUUUGCCCAAUGAGAACAGGGCACAUGUGUUGAAGGCAGAACCGUGACAGCAGCAUUGGGGGCUCAUUCUCGUCUUCUUGCUUUUUCUGGAAGCCGGGCUAUAUGGUGUUGAUGCCACUAUUUAAAUGUAAAUUAAGUUAUUAAACCGGCUGUUGUUUCACGUCGGCAGCUCUGAAAUCACAGAGAAGAAAGGCAUUUGAAUGUGUCUUACCUAAGAUAAAAUAUAUGCUAGAUUCAGAUCUUUUUCCUUUUCACGGCAACGGUAACUGUUGGAAAAUUGGCUUUUUGGGGGGUAAAAACAAGCCACGAGUAGCAUUUGAUCUGUAGCGGUAGGUAGUCAUUUCCCUAAAACUACUUUUGAUGACCAAGUUUUUUGUGUUCUCCAAAAAAAGGAGUGGCCUCCCCUUCAUUGUAUAACUUGAGAAUUUAAAGUAGAAA